CUCUAAUUCACAAAACCCUCUCCCGGAGAGGAUGAGGCUGGAAAUGGGGCCUGUGGACUGUGCAUCUUCAUGAACCUGAGUUGAGAAUGAACACUGGGCCAGUCGGCGGGCCAGAGAGGCAAAGGCAAGGACACUGAGUGACCUUAGGAGAAAACGAAGUGGGCAGCUCUACAGACAGACUUCGAAGACUGUUGCCAGGUCUGGCAGAGGGCAUAGACUCCAUGGGCAGCAUGCGCCUGAAGGUAAUGGUUAGACACUCCAGCAAUUAUGGAAACAAGAUGGCCAGGGCCCAGUGGAGACUGGAGCGGGCGAGCCAGAAGCGCCACCUGCUGGUGGAUGCGGCAACGGCCGAGAGAAACAGAGCUCAAUUAACACUGAUGUGCUGGCAUUUGUUAGGGGCCCUUAGUUUCAGUCCUGGUGGAG